UACAGAGGGUGCGAGCGUUAAUCGGAAUUACUGGGCGUAAAGCGUGCGUAGACGGUUAUUUAAGUCGGGUGUGAAACCUCCAGGCUCAACCUGGAGAUGCCACCUGAUACUGCUGUGACUCGAGUCCGGUAGGGGAGCGUGGAAUUCCUGGUGUAGCGGUGAAAUGCGCAGAUAUCAGGAGGAACACCAGCGGCGAAGGCGGCGCUCUGGGCCGGAACUGACGCUGAGGAGCGAAAGCGUGGGUAGCAAACAGG
rnacentral:rRNA from 1 species